rnacentral:lncRNA from 1 species
UCAUACAGGAAAACAGGAAUUAGAGGGCUGUAAGGAAGAGGAGUUGCCUGCAUUACUGAUCUGGAUCUGGCACUGUUCCGGAGGGGGCCGUUGCAGACACUGGACCACCAGCCAGCUGCGUUUGUUGUCCUGGAUGUCAGUGCCAACUUUGCCAGUCACACUGGGGUCCCCAAAGAGGUCAACGUAAUCAUCCUGAAUCUGAAAGAACUCUCCCAUCUCCAACAGGAUCUUCUGGGCAUUGGCAUGCUCCUUCUCACCAUCAAUUCCUGCCAGGUACAUGGCUGCAGCUACAGGAAGGUAGAAGGAGUAGAAAGCUGUCUUGUACUUGACAAUGGAUUUGUAUCUCUUUUCAGUGAAUCUGCGAAGAUCCACAUUGUCCUGGGGGCUGUGAUGAGGUCCAGGGUCUGCCCAAUCUCAGUCUGAUAGGAACUCUGCAGGAAGAGCUCUAUCAGGUUCAGGUAAUAGGGCUGCUCCCAGCAGUAGAGCUUCAGCAGGCGGUAGAUACAUGCUUCCAGAAGGAUAGCAUCAUUGAUGGCAUCCAAACCCACACCUGGCUUCUGAUACCAGCAGAUCUGUCCCCGGUGGGUGAGGGAUGAUUCCAUGAUGUCAUCUGCCACCAGGAAGAAAGCUUGCAGCAGUUGCACACACCAGCCCACAGUCAGGGCCCGCUGGAGACUAACAGUAUCCUGUUUCCUUGCCUCCACCAGCUCCCAGAAUGCUACUAGCACCGUCACACCCCGGUGACACUUGCCGCCAAUGGCAUUGCACUCCAGGGCCUCCUUGAGCCAGACAAUAGCAUCUCCUGUCUCUGGGUGCCCCAUCUCAUCCUCAGUCAGCACCCUAAUGAUCUGGGAGAAGUGCUGAAUGAAAUCUUGCUUUUCUUGGGCAUAAAUAUCUGAUUUCUGGUCUCCAUUCAUUCUGAGGGAGGAGCAAAGGGCUCUGUUUCUGGAUGUGGGUUCCUGCUCAGACAAUAUAUUUCUUAUGUAUAAUUUGGUCCAUUUUUCCCUAGUAGAUCCUCCUUUGAAAUUCCUGCCUAGAACACACCCUGCCCAUCACUUACACAGCCAAGCACCCGACUCCAGAACCUGUUCUCAGCUCUGCUGAGUGGGCAGUGGACUGUAUGGUCUCACUCCUGACUGGUAAACACCUACUCAGUGAAGCCCAUUCGAUUUUGUGUUCUAGGUACUUGAAAUUGAGGCAUGAAAACUCUUUAUACAAGUCAGAGAGUGAACCCUAACAUGAACUCUGGACUUCUGUUAAUAAUAAUAUAUUAAUAAUUGUUCAUCAAUUGUAAGAAAUUAUCUCAGUUUAUUCAUUUUUCUAUAAGAAAAUACCAUAAAUUGGGUAGCUUAUAAACAACAGAAAUUUAUUUCUCACAGUUCU